rnacentral:lncRNA from 1 species
GUUCUAGACCCUCCCAAGAUCAUCCUUGACGGCCUGGAUGCUGAUAACACCGUGACAGUGAUUGCCGGAAGCAAGCUUCGUCUGGAGAUUCCCGUCACAGGGGAACCACCUCCCAAAGCCAUCUGGAGCAGAGCAGAUAAGGCUAUCAUGGAGGGCAGUGGUCGGAUAAGGGCAGAAUCCUACCCCGACAGCAGCACGCUGGUCAUUGACGUGGCAGAGAGAGAUGACUCUGGUGUGUACAACAUAAAUCUGAAAAAUGAAGCUGGAGAAGCACACGCAAGCAUCAAGAUUAAGGUUGUGGAUAUCCCUGAUCCUCCGGUGGCACCAAAUGUGACAGAAGUGGGAGAUGACUGGUGCAUCAUGAACUGGGAGCCUCCUGUCUAUGAUGGAGGGUCUCCAAUUUUAGGAUACUUUAUUGAGAGGAAAAAGAAGCAAAGCUCCAGGUGGAUGAGACUGAAUUUUGAUCUCUG